rnacentral:rRNA from 1 species
UGGGGAAUAUUGCACAAUGGAGGGAACUCUGAUGCAGCGACGCCGCGUGAGUGAUGAAGGAAUUCGUUUCGUAAAACUCUGUUCUAUGGGAAGAAAAGGACUGUACCAUAGGAGAAAGCUCCGGCUAAAUACGUGCCAGCAGCCGCGGUAAUACGUAUGGAGCGAGCGUUGUCCGGAAUUAUUGGGCGUAAAGGGUGCGCAGGCGGCUUUACAAGUUGGAUGUGAAAUAUUGUGGCUCAACCACAAACGUGCAUCCAAAACUGCAAAGCUUGAGUUAAGGAGAGGUAAGUGGAAUUCCUGGUGUAGCAGUGGAAUGCGUAGAUAUCAGGAGGAAUACCGGUGGCGAAGGCGACUUACUGGACUUAAACUGACGCUCAGGCACGAAAGCGUGGGGAGCAAACAGG